rnacentral:lncRNA from 1 species
AAUAAUUAAUAAUAAGAUAACAUUAAAUAUUUUUUUGUAUUUCUCACUUGUCACAAUUACGAAAGGUCACUCACUAUUGGUUUCAAGGAUGGAACCGACGUCACCUUCUACGGCAAUGGUGAUAGUGAGAAUGACGAUGAUCCCUUCGGUGGAGGGGAGACAUGGGCGCGCACUAGUAAGGGAGGGAGAGAGAGGGGCAGGUGUAUAUGAGAAAAGAUAAGAAAGAGAAUUGAUUAAUAUGAAAAAUAUGGAGGAAGAAUUUGGUACUAAAAAUGUUUAGAUGUAUUAAUUAAAUAUAUUAAUUAAAAGUUUCGAAAAGGGAAGGGUCAUAUAUGGUGAAGGACAACUUGACAUUGAAGGUUUGAUAAUGAUAAUGUUUAGAUAUAUUAAUUAAAUAUAUUAAUUGAAAGUUUAAAGAGAAAGGAUGAACAACUUGAAAGUUUGGUAAUGAUAACGUUCAGAUACUUUAAUUAAAUAUAUUAAUUGAAAGUUUGAUAAAGAAAAUGAAAAGGAUCAAAUGGUGAUGAGAGUGAAAAAUAAUUUGUCACCGUGGUAAAAAAUAUUAGAAAUUUACCUCAUAUAAGUUAAUAGAUGAUAUUUCAAAUAAAUAAUUUUUUUUAAAAAAAUUAAUAAGUUCCAUCAUAAUUAAUAAAAAUUAUUAUUAUAUUUCAUAAAAAUAAAAAUAUAUAAUUAAUGAUAUGAUGUAA